rnacentral:rRNA from 1 species
GCGAGUCGAACGAACAGAACUAUGUCUGUUAGUGGCAUACUGCUCAGUAACACGUAGCUAACCUACCCUUAGGACGUUUAUACCCCCGAGAAAUUGGGGCUAAUAAGCGAUAGAUGUGAUGUCCUGGAAUGGUAUUACGUCUAAAAGUAUAUCAUACACGUUUGAUAUACGCCUAAGGACGGGGCUGCGGCUGAUCAGGCUGUUGGUGAGGUAAUGGCUCACCAAACCAUUGACCAGUACGGGCCAUGAGAGUGGUAGCCCGGAGAUGGACACUGAGACAAGGGUCCAGGCCCUACGGGGCGCAGCAGGCGCGAAACCUCCUCAAUGCACUAAAGUGCGAAGGGGUUACCUCGAGUGCCAUCUGAUGAAGGUGGCUUUUCCUUGGUCUAAAAAGCCUAGGGAAUAAGAGGGGGGCAAGACUGGUGUCAGCCGCCGCGGUAACACCAGCCCCUCGAGU